rnacentral:sRNA from 1 species
AAUGAAAAUGUUGGUCUAAAUUAAAUAUUUGAACUUAAACAUUUUAAUCUAUAUCUUUUAGAAUUUUAAUUAACUUAUUUAAUAUUAAUGUCUUGGACUUGUGUUGUUUAAGCCAUUUUUAAUAUAAUUUCAUGCUAAUAUACAUAUAUAUAUAUAUAUGUAAAUAUAUGUAUAUAUAUUUCCAAAAUGUUUCUAAUCUCUAAUUUUAGAAAAAACCGUUUCUCAUAUCCACAUAAUCGUUUUCUUUCCAUGCAACAUAAAUUAAAACAAUAUAAAAAAAACUUCUUAUUUUCUUUUGGUAAACAAGACUUUUGGGCAACUGGUCUUCAACAAACAUAUUCCGAAGCAGGCUAAUUCGGAGUAUAUGAGUCUGGAGAUCCUUUAAACUUUAGACUAUGUAUGUCCUCUGCAAAAUUUACUCUCUGGUUUGUGAAUCACCUGUUUUAACUUUGUUUAUAAGUUCGUUUUAUGGUUUCUGUAAGAUUUUACUAUUAGCUACAAUACAAAAGAUUUUGUAAAUUAGGGAAAUUUGCAUUUAUAACCUACAAAAAUAUUAUAAUUAAGUAAAUAACAUUCUCAAAAAAAGCAAGCAAUAUUGUUUGUAUUUUCUGUAAUAAUGCCAAUACUAUCCCUGUUUGAAAUACACGCUUUUCAUCUUCUCCCUUCCAUAGAAAACCAACUAUUUUCUUUCGCCAACUAUUAACUUUUGAACAUAGGUUUGGCUCUAACAAAUUCCAGUCCACCGUUUAUGAAGCUUUUGAUUUUGCCAACGAUUAACAGAGGUAUAUUGGGCACAAAAACAAGACAGUUAAUUUUUGGAAAUGACAUUUAGGUUUUGCUCGAAAUUGAAUUAGAGGUUUUGAUUUACAGAGGCACGACUUUAGAUUUUGUUGGGGUCUUUGGUUUUUUUAAGAGACUUUGGUUUUGGUUUUUGAAAUUCAAUUAGUCGAGAUUCUCGCUAAUAAGCGCUGAAUUUGAUCAAUCUCUGUUCUCUGUUUCCUUCAUUUGAUUUCUUUUUUUCGGUCUCUCUAAUUUAUUGGCGUCGUUGUUUCCUUAUCCUGAACCAAUAAAUCGAUUUUGAUUUUGAGAAAUUUUUGAGAGAUACUAUUCUAUUUUGUGAAUAUACUAUUUACGUAUACCUUGUACUAUAUACGUUUUAAAAUGAAUUGUUUGUUUUGAUUAAGGAUGUUAAGUGAUUUGAUUAGUGUUUUAUAUUAAAAGUCUUGGGUUCCCUAUAUAUUAUCUUAGGGUUUAGUAUCCUUCCAUCAAAAAGUAUUUAAUUGAUUAUUUGGAUUCAUCGGAAUAAACGUUUCUAUUUAAACAAAUAUAUACUAUUCUAUCUUUCUAUGAUGAUCUGUAUAGAAUUUGAUAUCACUAUUCAUUUUUUUAAAAAAUUCGUUUCCGUUUUUUAAAAUUCAAAUCAUAUUAGAUAAACAAAAAAAAAUCUGUUUUUACAAUAAUAUUAUUAACUUUAACCAAAUAAUAUUGUUAAACUAAUAAAGUAAACAAAAUUAAGAGGGGUGAAUAUAUAUUAGUCAUAUAUAUUUCUCUUUCCUCCUGCUAGUGGCUUCUCUUUCUCUCCAAGCGCAUCCGUGGGAAAGAGUUGAGUGUAUUUUCACAACUGACAUGUGCUAUCAAAUAAAUUACAUACAUUAUAGUACUAUAUAUUUAAUAACUUUUUCAAAAACCGUCAUUUUUUGCAAUUCACCCUAUAAAUUAACACUUUAUAAAAACUAUAAUUAAAAAUAAAAUGAAACUACAUGUUGAUAUACAGAGCAACACCUCCCAAUAGAGGUUUGGUGAGUAAUUAU